AGUGAACGCUGGCGGCAGGCCUAACACAUGCAAGUCGAACGGCAGCACAGAGGAGCUUGCUCCUUGGGUGGCGAGUGGCGGACGGGUGAGGAAUACAUCGGAAUCUGCCUAUUUGUGGGGGAUAACGUAGGGAAACUUACGCUAAUACCGCAUACGACCUACGGGUGAAAGCGGAGGACCUUCGGGCUUCGCGCAGAUAGAUGAGCCGAUGUCGGAUGAGCUAGUUGGCGGGGUAAAGGCCCACCAAGGCGACGGUCCGUAGCUGGUCUGAGAGGAUGAUCAGCCACACUGGAACUGAGACACGGUCCAGGCGCCUACGGGAGGCAGCAGUGGGGAAUUUUGGACAAUGGGCGCAAGCCUGAUUCAGCCAUGCCGCGUGGGUGAAGAAGGCCUUCGGGUUGUAAAGCCCUUUUGUUGGGAAAGAAAAGCAGUCGGUUAAUACCCGAUUGUUCUGACGGUACCCAAAGAAUAAGCACCGGCUAACUUCGUGCCAGCAGCCGCAGUAACAC
rnacentral:rRNA from 1 species